GUAGUAUAUGGCAGCACAUCUACUAAAAUUGGAACGAUACAGAGAAGAUUAGCAUGGCCCCUGCACAAGGAUAACAUGCAAACUCGUGAAGUGUUCCAUAUUUUU